rnacentral:sRNA from 1 species
UAUUCUGCCCCAUGGGGAAGGAUGAGAAGCUUCGACUAAGGUUCGACUCGAGCGCCAGCGAGAGAACGUUGCCGCAGGCAACGGCCCGAAGGGCGAGGCGCUUUAGCGCCGAGUAAUCCUU